UUUUUUAUGGUGUAUAUAGCACGUUGGUUUUUCAUGCCAGAGGAGGAAGUGUUUCCUGA
rnacentral:tRNA from 2 species